UACGUAGGGCGCAAGCGUUGUCCGGAAUUAUUGGGCGUAAAGAGCUCGUAGGCGGCUUGUCACGUCGGGUGUGAAAGCCCGGGGCUUAACCCCGGGUCUGCAUUCGAUACGGGCAGGCUUGAGUGUGGUAGGGGAGAUCGGAAUUCCUGGUGUAGCGGUGAAAUGCGCAGAUAUCAGGAGGAACACCGGUGGCGAAGGCGGAUCUCUGGGCCAUUACUGACGCUGAGGAGCGAAAGCGUGGGGAGCGAACAGG
rnacentral:rRNA from 1 species